UUGUGUUACAACUUGAACCUCGUUAGCCAUUCCUCGUUUUGUCGAUUAACAUCUUGGAUUGAUACUUUGUCGCCCCCACUAAAGUGCAUCUAUGGGUUUGCGUUAGCUUCGGAUAUUGCAGGUUAAUGACUCCUAAUUGAACGAACCCCUUUAUUUCUUAGGAAGUGAUAAAUUUGUGAUGCAGUAGCAUCCUUGAAGCUCCAAAUGUUACUUUCCUUAUUUGAAUUAUUAUUUAUUUUUCUGCUUAUUUCUGUAUAAGCCCAAGUAAUAAGAUUAUUAUUUUCUGAAUGGACGGAGCAUUAACUGAACAACAAGCAACAAGCUUUCUCUCUCUCUCGAUCUUUCACGGAGAAGAUGAGAAGUUUUUUUAGUUUUUUUUUUUUUUUGGCUCAACAACUACUCUUCAUUAACCAAAUAAGAUCAUUCUUACAAAGGCUUAUCAGCUUCCAACAGUGAGUUUAACCAAACAGGCACAAUAAAAUACAACUUGGGAACAUGAGACAUAAAUGUUAAAGACUUUUUAGCUGUUCUAUCUGCUAAUUUAUUACCACUCCGGAGAAAGAACUCGACCCUAUACGCUUCCUUGGUCACCAACAUGUUUGAUAUAUCUUGUAUGAUCGGUCUCAGCUUUGGCCAUGGGGCUUCAGUACCAUUGAUCAUCUUAGUCAACUCCAGAGAAUCAGUUUCCACAAUCACCUGCUGGUAGUUGAAUCCCACAAGAGUGUGUAUUGCCCAUCUAAUUGCCUCAGCUUCAAAUUUUAUCGGUGACCCUAGCGUUGGAAGUUCUCUAGCACCUGCCCAUACGAGCUUCCCACUUUGAUCUCUACUCACCCAACCCACACCACAUGACUCACUGUCUUUUUUCCAUGCUCCAUCAGUAUUGCACUUUAUCCAAUUCUGUGGUGGUGGCUUCCAUCUUUCAAUCGAGGGAGCUCUUAUAGGGUUUUUAACCACACUCUCUUCAACCUCUUUUCUCGAUCUCCACUCCUCCAUGUCCUCACGUGCCUUCCUCACCAUACUCGGAGCAUCAUAAUCCUUUCCUUUAUAAUAAACUCAUUUCUGUUCUUCCAGAUUCUCCAUAGCAGCCAGGGCCCUAGCUGAUCAUGCGCUUCUUCCUUGGCAUGCUCAUAGUUUAAGUUCAGCACUCGGUGAAGAUUUGAGUAUAGGGAGUCUGUCAUUUUCCCACCAGGAGGUGCAUGAAUGGGGGAGACCGCCCACACCAGUCUUGCAUACGGGCAUGUAAACAAAAGAUGAUUUAUUGUCUCUUCAGCCAUCAUGCAGCGAUCACAGCUUCCAUCCUUAGCCAUAUGUCGGUUUCGCAUGUUAUCAGCCACCGGCAAGGAAUUGCUGAGGCUAGGCCUAGACAUUCGGGUCGUCGGGUCGGGUUCGGAUCGGGUCCUUUCGGGUACGGGUAUUUCGGGUCUAAGAGUUUAGGACCCGAUUGGGUAAUUUCAAAUUCUCGGUUCCGGGUCGGUUCGGAUCGUGCCGGGUCCGGGUCGGGUCGGGUCUUAGAUAGUUAGACCCAUUCGGGUAGCUAGAAUUUAUCGGUUCGGAUUCGGUUCGGUUUCGGGUGGGUUCGGUUCGGGUUCGAUUUAAAAAAGACCUUAAAAUACAAAAAAAUAUCUGAAAAUAUUUAUAUAUCCAAAAAUAUUCAAAACUUUAUUCAAAAUUUGUGUUUUUAUUAUAUUUAAAUGUUAUAUAUAUUAAAUUAUGCGAGAUACAACAACAAUUCGUUGUUUCCUAGUGGUUGACCCCCAUGUUCUCUAGACGAAUAACCCGUCUUCGAUUCCCCCUUGAUGCAUUUUAGUUAAUUUACAUUAUUAAUUCGGGUACCCAUCGGGUCGGGUCCAAGACUCGCGGGUUCAAAACCCGCGGGUCCUCUGCAACAAGACCCAAUAGGGUAACUUGACCGGGUCGGUUCCUACCCGAACCGGGUUUUUUCGGGUCGGUUUCGGGUCGGGUCUUCGGGUCCGAGUAAAAUGCCCAGACCUAGCUGAGACAACGCGACAAAUAUGUUUCGUAUUGAUUGAUUUUUUCAGGUCUCUCAUGGGGAACUGAUGACCAGUCCUUGAGGGAUGCUUUUGCAAACUUUGGUGAAGUGGUCGAUGGUAAGUUAAAUUUCAACUUUUGUAACAUUGAUGAGAGUUUAUGACAUUGUGGUUUUGGUGAUAACAAAAGUUGAUUGUUUUUAUUGCUGUGCAGCUAAAGUCAUUGUUGAUAGAGAAACAGGAAGGUCUAGGGGUUUUGGAUUUGUCAACUUUACUGAUGAGACCGCUGCUAAUACUGCCAUUUCAGAGAUGGACGGAAAGGUUAGUAUUUGAGUGUUCUGUUAGUAUUCAUUCUUUUGAAAUGCUUUUUGUUUGAGUCUUUGAUGGUUAACUUAUUAAUGCCUUUUGGUUUUGUAAUUUCAGGAUCUGAAUGGACGGAGCAUUCGGGUGAAUGUUGCUAACGAAAGACCAAGUACUCCCCGGUAUGGCGUAGGUGGUGGGUAUGGCGGAGGUGGUGGCUAUGGUGGAGGUAGCUAUGGAGCAGGUGGUGGUGAUGGUGGCGGUUACUAAACAGAGAGAGUAUCUUGUGAAAAGAUUUGAUGGUUUUUGUUUAGUUGGGUUUCUUUAAUUGAAUCUUGUGUUACAACUUGAACCUCGUUAGCCAUUCCUUGUUUUGUCGAUUAACAUCUUGGAUUGAUACUUUGUCGCCCCCAUUAAAGUGCAUCUAUGGGUUUGCGUUAGCUUCGGAUAUUGCAGGUUAAUAACUCCUAAUUGAAUGAACCCCUUUAUUUCUUAGUAAGUGAUAAAUUUGUGAUGCAGUAGCAUCCUUGAAGCUCACCGGGUCGGUUCCUACCCGAACCGGGUUUUUUCGGGUCGGUUUCGGGUCGGGUCUUCGGGUCCGAGUAAAAUGCCCAGACCUAGCUGAGACAACGCCACAAAUAUGUUUCGUAUUGAUUGAUUUUUUCAGGUCUCUCAUGGGGAACUGAUGACCAGUCCUUGAGGGAUGCUUUUGCAAACUUUGGUGAAGUGGUCGAUGGUAAGUUAAAUUUCAACUUUUGUUACAUUGAUGAGAGUUUAUGACAUUGUGGUUUUGGUGAUAACAAAAGUUGAUUGUUUUUAUUGCUGUGCAGCUAAAGUCAUUGUUGAUAGAGAAACAGGAAGGUCUAGGGGUUUUGGAUUUGUCAACUUUACUGAUGAGACCGCUGCUAAUACUGCCAUUUCAGAGAUGGACGGAAAGGUUAGUAUUUUAGUGUUCUGUUAGUAUUCAUUCUUUUAAAAUGCUUUUUGUUUGAGUCUUUGAUGGUUAACUUAUUAAUGCCUUUUGGUUUUGUAAUUUCAGGAUCUGAAUGGACGGAGCAUUCGGGUGAAUGUUGCUAACGAAAGACCAAGUACUCCCCGGUAUGGCGGAGGUGGUGGGUAUGGCGGAGGUGGUGGCUAUGGUGGAGGUAGCUAUGGAGCAGGUGGUGGUGAUGGUGGCGGUUACUAAACAGAGAGAGUAUCUUGUGAAAAGAUUUGAUGGUUUUUGUUUAGUUGGGUUUCUUUAAUUGAAUCUUGUGUUACAACUUGAACCUCGUUAGCCAUUCCUUGUUUUGUCGAUUAACAUCUUGGAUUGAUACUUUGUCGCCCCCAUUAAAGUGCAUCUAUGGGUUUGCGUUAGCUUCGGAUAUUGCAGGUUAAUAACUCCUAAUUGAACGAACCCCUUUAUUUCUUAGGAAGUGAUAAAUUUGUGAUGCAGUAGCAUCCUUGAAGCUCCAAAUGUUACUUUCCUUAUUU
rnacentral:lncRNA from 1 species